rnacentral:lncRNA from 1 species
GGUAUCUAUCCUUUGUUAUCAUCAUUUGGAUUUAGUCUCUAUCAUUUGCAUGGAGAUACAUCUAUGAACUUAAUUAAGCAAGCAGUAAAUGCCAUUGGAUCUGAGAGAUCCAAAAUUGAGAUCAAUCUUAAGUAUAUAUGAAACCUUAGGCUAAGUCAUAUUGGAGAAGAAAUGAUUAAUAAGCUCAAGAAUUAUGAGCUUUUGGGCUCAUUGAAUGUUGAGUCAUAUCUUGUUUGUACAUCAUCUCUUUGAGAAAAUAUGACCAAGCUGCUCUUGUGGAACUAGAGAAAAAAGAUCAUUGAGAUACUUAUCC